rnacentral:rRNA from 1 species
CAGUCGCCGCGGUAAUACGGAGGGUGCAAGCGUUAAUCGGAAUUACUGGGCGUAAAGCGCACGCAGGCGGUCUGACAAGUCAGAUGUGAAAUCCCCGGGCUUAACCUGGGAACUGCAUUUGAAACUGUCAGGCUGGAGUCUUGUAGAGGGGGGUGGAAUUCCAGGUGUAGCGGUGAAAUGCGUAGAGAUCUGGAGGAAUACCGGUGGCGAAGGCGGCCCCCUGGACAAAGACUGACGCUCAGGUGCGAAAGCGUGGGGAGCAAACAGGAUUAGAUACCCGCGUAGUCCCUGUCUCUUAUAU